AAGAGCUCGUAGGUGGUUUGUCGCGUUGUUCGUGAAAUCUCACGGCUUAACCGUGAGCGUGCGGGCGAUACGGGCAGACUUGAGUACUGCAGGGGAGACUGGAAUUCCUGGUGUAGCGGUGGAAUGCGCAGAUAUCAGGAGGAACACCGGUGGCGAAGGCGGGUCUCUGGGCAGUAACUGACGCUGAGGAGCGAAAGCGUGGGGAGCGAACAGGAUUAGAUACCCUGGUAGUCCACGCCGUAAACGGUGGGUACUAGGUGUGGGUUUCCUUCCUUGGGAUCCGUGCCGUAGCCAACGCAUUAAGUACCCCGCCUGGGGAGUACAGCCGCGAGGCUAAAACUCAAAGAAAUUGACGGGGGCCCGCACAAGCGGCGGAGCAUGUGGAUUAAUUCGAUGCAACGCGAAGAACCUUACCUGGGUUUGACAUGCACAGGACGCCGGCAGAGAUGUCGGUUCCCUUGUGGCCUGUGUGCAGGUGGUGCAUGGCUGUCGUCAGCUCGUGUCGUGAGAUGUCGGGUUAAGUCCCGCAACGAGCGCAACCCUUGUCUCAUGUUGCCAGCGGGUAACGCCGGGGACUCGUGAGAGACUGCCGGGGUCAACUCGGAGGAAGGUGGGGAUGACGUCAAGUCAUCAUGCCCCUUAUGUCCAGGGCUUCACACAUGCUACAAUGGCCGGUACAAGGGGUUGCGAUGCCGCGAGGUUAAGCGAAUCCUUUUAAAGCCGGUCUCAGUUCGGAUCGGGGUCUGCAACUCGACCCCGUGAAGUCGGAGUCGCUAGUAAUCGCAG
rnacentral:rRNA from 1 species